rnacentral:rRNA from 1 species
UACGUAGGGGGCAAGCGUUGUCCGGAUUUACUGGGCGUAAAGAGCGUGUAGGCGGCCAGGCAGGUCUGUUGUGAAAACUGGAGGCUCAACUUCCAGACGUCGACAGAAACCGCUUGGCUAGAGUCCGGAAGAGGAGAGUGGAAUUCCUGGUGUAGCGGUGAAAUGCGUAGAUAUCAGGAGGAACACCGGUGGUGUAGACGGCUUUCUGGACCGUAACUGACGCUGAGACACGAAAGCGUGGGUAGCAAACAGG